GAUGAACGCUGGCGGCGUGCCUAAUACAUGCAAGUCGAGCGAACGGACGAGAAGCUUGCUUCUCUGAUGUUAGCGGCGGACGGGUGAGUAACACGUGGAUAACCUACCUAUAAGACUGGGAUAACUUCGGGAAACCGGAGCUAAUACCGGAUAAUAUUUUGAACCGCAUGGUUCAAAAGUGAAAGACGGUCUUGCUGUCACUUAUAGAUGGAUCCGCGCUGCAUUAGCUAGUUGGUAAGGUAACGGCUUACCAAGGCAACGAUGCAUAGCCGACCUGAGAGGGGGACCGGCCACACGGGAACUGAGACACGGUCAAAACCCCUACGGGAGGCAGAAGGAGGGAAUUUUCCGAAAGGGGCGAAAGCCGGACGGAGAAACGCCGCGGGGGGAAUGAAGGUUUUCGGAUCGUAAAACUCUGUUAUUAGGGAAGAAAAUAUGUGAAAGUAACUGUGCACAUCUUGAGGGUACCUAAUCAAAAAGCCACGGCUAACUACGG
rnacentral:rRNA from 1 species